UACGUAGGGUGCGAGCGUUGUCCGGAAUUAUUGGGCGUAAAGGGCUCGUAGGCGGUUUGUCGCGUCGGGAGUGAAAUCCACUGGCUUAACUGGUGGCUUGCUUUCGAUACGGGCAGACUGGAGGUAUGCAGGGGAGAACGGAAUUCCUGGUGUAGCGGUGAAAUGCGCAGAUAUCAGGAGGAACACCGGUGGCGAAGGCGGUUCUCUGGGCAUGUCCUGACGCUGAGGCGCGAAAGCCAGGGGAGCAAACGGG
rnacentral:rRNA from 1 species